AAGAGACUAUUUGUAAGGAGGUUGUUGGGGGUGUAAUGAAAACCCAAGGGACAGUCUGGGAACUAGGGGUUAAAAGAAACAGAGUGGUUGACACCCUGGGACCCUAAGGGAGUGAUUAUCAGCAUCUGGAAAGGGAGUGUUAUUUGGAGCAGACCACAGUAAGAGGAGCAGUGACCUUGACCCAAGCCAACCAAAGGCAGUCUCACUAGGAGAAAGCCAAGGGAUGAAUACCUUGACCUUCUCUGGUCUUCUGCAAGGGCUCCCCAUUGGCCAAAGCCAACUGGAAGCCAGAGAGAAAGAGAACACAUUUAUACAGGGUCAGCCUCCUGGGCAGAGAGGAAGGUAGAAAACGGUGGAGAGUGGAUCUCAGGAACAGUGUAAUGAUAUUUCCAUUCACUUGACAAGAAGACUUGAGGAAGAGCCAUCCAAUAUCCCUCCCCCUUCCCACUGCAGGCUUUCAGAGUGAAGAUAUCUUGGGCUUGCGGAGAGGAAAAGGUGUGUUCUUAACAUCAGCUUUGGAGUUUUGAUUAAUAUCUUACACUUAGCUAAUUUCUGUAUCAAGACUGUUUAUAUAACUGAAUUUGAAAGUCUAUGGUGCCAGAGUGGCCAGAAAAUUUAUGGGCCUGCCACAGGUUUCAGCCUAGGGCAGAGAAAGAUGACCUCUCUUCCCCCUCACCAUCUGACUUUAUAUAUAUGUAAAGGAACAGUGGGGGCAAAAAUAAAUAUAUAAGGUUGCUUUUCGAUUAGGUCAGAGAAUUGUGCUUAUUUAACAUACCACUUAUGUAAUCUUUACCAACUUUCUCACAUUACAAGUAAUGAAACUAAAUUCCAGAGAGCUUGAUUCACAUGCCCUGUUUUAGGAAGCCAUUUCACGCCCAAAUCUAAACUAGAAGUAUGAAUUGAAACAUCUAUAUGAUAUGCAGCUAUAGGCUUACAUAAGCAAUUAGCACUGGGGCAAAUUUCAAACAAGACCAAAGACAUUGACUAGCUAUCUUUGCUCUGUUCCUUGGCUGCACACAUUACCUUUAGGUAGCUCAGUAUAUGGUGAGUGGGGAAGUCUCACUGGACAAUCUAGGCUUCCGUGGUACAAUGAUUUGUACAUCUGCUCUGCUCUACAUCAAAGGUUUAGACCUUUGAUUUGUGAUUCAGAAACUCAAUUUCGUCUGUUCACCCAAGAAUAAUCAGGUCCUGAUGAACUGAUAUAUUUACCAGCCUCACAACAGAUUUACUGGUAAAUCAAAAUGUCCAUUGAAUUACCCUGAGAAAUGUUACUAUCAAAAAGACAAGAUUGGUGUCAGCUGGUCAACAGUCUAUGGCUGAAUUGUUUAGAGAAAGAAUACAGACAAAUCAGACAUUCACAUUCAUUCUCAAGAAAAUAACUCAAAGUAUAAAUCUCACUGACAGUGGGCCAAAGACAUAAACAUCACAUGUAAAUGGCAACACAUAAAAUUAAUAAAUUGCUUUACUGAUGACAUGCCCUGCAUUUUUGCAAAUUCCUAGGUGUUUUUGAUGUGUAUAUACCACAGUAUGGUGAGUUGGCAUUGUAAAGCUUUGAUUAGCCAGAACUUAAUUAGAACCUUAAAUUUAAAAGAGUUUCUUCUGAUGCAUGUUCCAGUUACCAGUUUAUUUCUUCUCAGCUCAAAUCCACCCUUUACUACCCUGCUUUGUGAUGCUGGAGUUGGACCCUGUAAAUAUUUCUCCUUUGCAGCUGGCAUGAUGCCUUGUCAGGAAAGAGCACUGGAGGGCCACUGCAGGAGGAAAGUGCUUCGCUUCUUUGUUCUGAUGUGGUUUUCCUUCUCCUGCAGUGCAUGGCAGCUAGUGGGUACCAGAAUCCUAACCACACUCAACCACCCAGCACGUCUCACAGCUACUCCGCGAGGUGAUUUCUUCUCCAUCCUGACUUGCAGCACCUCAGAGAAUUUCUCUACCACCCAAUGGAUGACAGCUACACCCUCUUCAUUACAGCACUCCUACAUAAUGAGCCUCACCUGGGAAGGACAGACAUCUAUGCCGUAGUUUGAAAAGAUCCCUUUUCUCUUUCCUCACACCACGUUUAUUAGUUUUCAAAGACCAUAUGGUGCUAAUUGAUGAUAAAAGUAACGGCGUGAAUCACAGACUGUUUUAUGGACCAGUCCCUACUUCAUCUUGAAUGGGAUGACAUAAAGCAGGCAUCCAUGGGGCCACUGACAUAAAACACCCCGAGUCCCCACCUGCAGAGAGGCAGAAUUCACAGAAGUAAAGAGAAUAAGGCAAGAAAACACAGAUAUUUUACUUCCUGGUAGAAUCGGAAUCAAAAUGACCAGACAGCGGCAUGAGAAUUAAAUGGCCUUUCUAAUGCAUUUUGGUAUCCAGCGAAAGUCCAUUAUAUAAUUGCAAUCCGUUGUUAUACUGAUCUUUUACUCUGGAUUAUGUUGUGAAAUUGUCCUGUUUUCAUGAUACCACUGUUUGUUGUUGUUGUUUUUGUCUCUGUUUAUUUUGCUUCUAAAAUAUUUCCUGUUUGAUUUUUUUCUCUAUUUAAAAAUAUUACAUAGCAGUAUAAGAAUUUGUAUUCCUGCUGCUUAGGGGGUUCUUUCUGUGUGAUGGUUGGUGUUGAGUCACGUACCCAGUUGAUGUAGAGGGUGGUUCUUGAGGAAAAUCCCUUGAGAGGCCAACCAUGGCUUCUGUUUCUCUGAAAAUAUAUGGUUUCUAAAUUGCCCAUAAUUUUUCCAGAAAAGUUUAAAUGAAAUUUCUCCUUAACCUAGAGAAGUUUUAAAUGAAA